rnacentral:misc_RNA from 1 species
UUUCCGUAGGUGAACCUGCGGAAGGAUCAUCAUUGGAUUUUGAAACUUCAGGCUGCUGCUGGCUCUCCUCGGAGGGCAUGUGCACGCUUGUUGUCCAUUAUUUCUCCCACUGUGCACAAAUUGUAGACCUUUCAGUAGGCCUAUGUUGUUUUUCACAAUCUCUGAAUGUAAUGGAAUGGUUUUGAAUCUUGGGAAAUACAAUACAACUUUCAGCAACGGAUCUCUUGGCUCUC